rnacentral:rRNA from 1 species
AUUAGUUAGGUCUUUAAACUCAAAGAAUUUGGCGGUAUUUUAUUCCUUUCAGAGGAACCUAUCUCGUAAUUGAUAAUACACGAUUUACUUUACUUAAUUUAUUUGUUUGUAUAUCUCCGUUAACAGAGGAUCUUUUUAGGGUUUAAAUCUUCUUGAUCUAUAAUUUUGUCUUAUUUCAGGUCAAGGUGCAGUUUAUAAUUGAGUUGAAGAUGGGUUACAAUAUAUUUAUAUAGAAUGGAUUUGGGUUUUAAAAUUUUAAUGAAGGUGGAUUUGAUAGUAAUUUAAUUGAUUUAAUUUAAUUGAUGUAGGCUCUAAGGUGUGUACACAU